UUUUUUUUUUUUUGUAUAAAGUGUGGGAAACGCUAAUUUUUAUGGAAUAAGCUAACAAAGUUCGGUACAUCAACUAUUGUACUUGAGAAUAAAAAAAAUUUAAUUAGUUGUACUAUGACAUUUGGUGCACAAGCCGUGUACCUGAUACAUUGAAUAUAAUUCGAAAAAAACAAAAGCAGCAAAUCCAAGAAAAUAAAAAUAUGUAUUUUUAGAUUAAACAAAUGAAUUCGCAAAUUUCAAUAUAUACUAAAACUGAAAAUCAACUGAAAUACUGUUCAUAAACAUAGUGUAGUUCCGAUUUUACCCUUGCUUAGUUUGUGUUAUUACAAGGUUGCCAUUCUUUCUACUGAGUUCUUAGGUGUCGUUCUUUCUCUUCGACAUCACAGUGAUAAAACACUCUAGCAAGUCCAACCGGCUGCAGACUCCAUCAAACCCUAGAAAUCAUUUUGCUUUUUUGGGCAUCCUCCUUUUUCUCCCUGCUCCUUGCUUUCCCCAACCUAGAAUCCUCAUCCUUUCCCCGAAUGAGAAAUCUGAAAUCCAUAACCCAAAACUCACUCAUAGUAGCCUCUGCCUUGCCUCAUUCCUCAUAUCCUGAUGAUUCAUUCUCUCCAUUCGAUUCGAUUUCGGUGACUUCUUUGUGUUAUAAAUUCUCAUAUUUUGCGUAUAAUUUUGGUUUUUGGAAUUUCGAAUUUGUACUGACUUUGCUCUAAUUAACUUUAAUUUUGUCUGUUAUUGUUGGGUUUGAGUAAAUUUCGAACCUUUUGUUUUCGUUCUUGAAAUUUUUGAGUUUUAUCUGUUAAAUAUUUGUUAAAAGACUCGAAUUAUCUGUUCGAACAAUGUGUAUAGCCUAUGAAAAUUGAACAAAAAGUCAUAUGAUCCAUGAUUUCUUCCUUCCUGGUCGACUAGAAAACCUUCUGGAGCUUCAUGGUGGUCGCACAUCUCCUCCUCUAUGCUCCUCCUCCAAAACUGUGAAGAUUUAUUUACAGUUAUGUAUUUAUGAUUCGAUAAUUGCAUGUUAAAAUAAUGUUUGGAAUUUGUGAUUUAAUGUAAUUGGGCUUUAGAAAUAUUUUCUUGAUUAUGUCGAAGGUUUCAUAAUCGUGAUGUUGAAAGAAAGAGAGCAAGAACCACAUUUGUCACAGCCCGUCCCGGAAUUUUAAUUCCGAGGACGUGAAAAGACCAAAAUGCCCUUAAGCGGGACUAAGGGGCGAAAAUUUAACAAUUGGAUUUACAUUAGUAUGUUUAAAGUUGUGUUUGGGAUUUAAGUAGGGCCUCCUACCCUGAUUCCCUCCCCAUUUCCCGUAUGUACUCUCUCUCUUCCUCAGACCUCACUUUCUCUCUCCCUCUCCUUCGAACUCACACGGACCACCACAAAACCACCCUAAAUCUAUACCAACGUCAAGUUUGAGACCACCAUUGGAAUCCUAAGGACUUCACGAUCACGUUGGUAUCCAUUUCAGGUAAGUUUUGCUUCGGAAAACCCCUAGUUUCCAAGUUCCCGUGAAGAGCACUGUUCAUGAUCUUCGAAUUGGCUUUGUUUUAGGUGAAACCAAGCCCACAGUGAGCUUAAGGAAGUCCCAAGGAAGCUCGGAGUGCUUCGUUGGAAGUUUUUGGACGUAAGAACACGGAGAUCGACAAGUUCAAAGUUUGGCCGGAACUUUCGAGGCUCUUUCCGGCGAAUCCCCGGCGAGUUAGGAGUUGAGGUAGGUAUCAAUCUCUUCGUCUCGUCAAGUACUACAACUUUUCCUUUUUGUUUCACUCAAUUUCGUUGAGUAUUGAAGAAGUUAUACUCAUUUGAAACUUACCCAGUUUCCGGCGACCUCCGAGGCUUUCGAGGCAGUUUCCGGCCAAACCACGGCGAACUAGGUGUUGUGCAAGGUACCAUUCUCUUUGUCUCUUCAAGGGCUACAACUUUUGUUUUUGAAUCACUUGAUUUCGUUGAGAAAUGACAAAGUUAUGGCAAUUUGAAAAACUGCCCAGAAAACGGCCGCCGGAAAAACCAGUCCGGCGACCCAAGGAAGAAGAAGGUGCGCGUGGGGGCGCGUGGACCCGUGCCUUCCUUGGCGCGUGGGGGCGCGUGCUACAGUAAAAAAUUAUUUUAAAAAUAUGUCGACGUCCGUGACGUCGAGUAGAUCACUGUGGUAUAUUCAUAUACCCAAAUUGAACACCGUAUGAGAAAGUUAUUGAGGAUUGUUGGUUAGGUGUUCGAAUAACGUUUUAUAGUUUUCACAUUUAGGUAAAAAUGUGAAUUGACGAUCCGACCGUUGGAUGGUAAUGAAAUUUUAGGAUGUUUGUCCUAGAGAUAUAUUUGUGGACCUCUGGAAGUUAUGGAUUUAAAAUCUGAGUGUGGCAGAUUCUUCCGGAUCGAACUACGUAGUGACGUAUUUUAUAUAUAAGUUAUAUAUUCUAUCGAUAUGAAUUCUGAGGUUGGAUUUGAUUACUGUUCUAGGCGGCGAUCGUCAUGACGCCUUGAUGUGUGGUGCUAGGGAGUUGUUGGACGAACUCCAGGUGAGUGGGCAGUUUUGUUUUCCGUAUAUAUAUAUACUUGACGUUUCCCAGAAAUUGAAUUGAAAUGAAAAAUAUGUUUUAAAAUGAAAUGCAUAUGAGUUAUGUGAAAAAACGGGAAGUGAAAUACCAUGCAUAGAAUUGAUAUGAAAAGUAUAUAGAAAUGUGAGUUGAAAUGCCAUGCAUGAAUUGAUAUAUGAUGCAUAUGUAUGAAUUGGUGCGGUGGACGCACAGGUAAGAAUUGAUUUAUGAUGCAUAUAUAUGAAUUGGUGCGGUGGACGCACAGGUAAGAAUUGAUUUAUGAUGCAUAUGUAUGAAAUGGUGCGGUGAACGCACAGGUGAGUAUUUAUUUCUGUUAUGAUGAUGUUGAUGUAUAUUGAGCUCAAAUCCUGCACCAUAGUUUAGUGCUUAUAGUAUUCACCGCAUCGCACGCUCGCCUUGGAUCCAAGUAGAUGCUAGUCGUACAGUCCACGCGGAGUGGGUACGACAGGCAGUCGCGAGAGUGUUAGUGAGAUUCCGACUGGUGGGUGACCUUAGAUUAUGUGCACAGAUGAUUUAUGAGAAAGCACUAGAGCGUAACUUAUGUGCAGAAGGCCGUACAGGUCACGCGGAGUGACUCCGGCAGAGUGUGAGAGUUAUAGAUUUUUGAGCUCUAGGUUCAACCGGGCUAAUAGAGGGCCUCCGGUUGAUUACUUUAUUGCACCCUGAUAUGAUUUAUGUUGAUGCAUUCAUACCUUAUUACUGUUUGAGAUGAUGUGGCAUGACAUAAUUAAUAUGAGAAAUGUUGAGAUGAUGUGGCAUGGCAUAAUUAUGAUGAAAAUGUUGAGUUAAUGAAUUGAAGUAUUGAGAAUAUAUAUAUGUAUAUUUAUAUUUUAUAUUUCUGGGAAAGUAUACAGGUUUUACGGAGAGGGGUUACAACGUUUUGAGAAAUGUUUGGAUUUGGAAAAGAAUUGUUUUACUGACCCACUCAAUUUUGGUUUUGCGCCCCUCCAGGUUCAGGAAUCACAAAGGUGUGGUGACUACGAGGAAUUUGACGGUGUUUUGACAGAUUGGACAAAAUUAGGACUCACCUUCGGGUGUAUCAACUUAUAAAUUGUAUCUUAAAGCUUCCGUACUGUGCAAAUGGUUACGUCACUCUCACGUGACGGCCAGCAUGCCCUCCUUCGGGACGAGGUGUGUCAACAUUCACAUAGUAUAUUCACUAUAGGUGUAGAAGCUCAGUUCUCCCGUUUUUUGGCCAAUUCCAAAGGCGCUGAAUUGCUUAAUUUUCUUUUAAAAAAAUUUCAACUUCAAAUAUAUAUAUAUAUAUAUAUAUAUAUAUAUAUAAUUUUUUUUUUCGGUUUUCUGAUUUCUGGUUGUGUUUCAGGGCAUAAUAGUGGGAGUUGAGUAAUGGAGUUGCUGCCAUGCAAUGGAGUAUAGCAGGAGGCAGAUGACCUUUCACUCCAUCUCAAUGGAUGGAGUUAGAACACCAGGUCUUGAUCUACAAAUACAUCCCAAUGUGCCUAUUUCGUCCACUAUGUUCAUCGCAAUCAAGAAGGCCAUUAAUUCUGCAUGAUUUUUUACAUGUUCAAACGGAAUUCCCAGGCCCAAUUCAUGUAAUUUCUUCAUUUUACUCAAAGGAAAAUGAUUUCCACACACUUCUUUUUUUUUUCCUUUUUCUUAAGCACGUUUUUGCUUAUUUUGUUGCUUGAUUUUUGCUUGAUUUUAUUUAAUUUAAAAGCUAGAAAUAAAUCUAAAAUUUUCAUGCCUUCAUUCUAUGUAUUUUUCGAUUUUCGUGGGGUAUGUGCAGUGGGAUGAUUCUCCAACACCACUGAUCCUGAGCAGAACAUGUUCACUGUGAAUUACAAGGAUUUCUUAGGUAAUGUAUAGAUUAGGGAUACACUUGAACCUAGAUAAGCAUGAAAAGCAUACGGUUUUGCUUGACCCAUCCAAUCACAAAAUUGUGUACCAUCAAUUCAAACGUUAUAGAACCAGUUUAAUGAAGCUGUAGUUGGUUGUGUGCGUUUGUGUUCAGUGGGAGAAAUUUGUUAUUGAGAGGGUAAGCCAGGCAAAAACAGAUUGAUAGUGUUGAAGAAUGGGGUAACAAUUUAAUUAUGUGUACAAUGAAGAAUCACAUAUGUUAUUCUUAAAAUGGGUCUGCACAAAUUUUGCAUAAUAUGAAGUCACAGUAUAUAAAUGGUGUUUAUACCAUAUUUAGGGCCUCCGUAUUUAGACCUCGUAUAAAUACUUAGAGGACUCAAAUGUAAUUAUGCAAUAAGUGAAGGGGCAAAUAUGUAAUAAGUGAGAAGCCCUUAUUCUAUAAAAGGGACUCCUCACUCUCUUCACAGGGAGAGCCAAUUUGAGGCGAAGGUUGAGGCUAGAGAGAUCCAUCAAAAUAGGCGCCUCCAGAAAUAUAUUAACAUCAGUGUGGACGUAACCCAAACAUUGGGGUGAACCACGAUACAUCUUGUGUUAUUUACUUUCUUGUAGAUUCACGAUCGGAUUUCUGUUGUACCAAAGUCCUCACUGAUUUUGUGCAUCAAUAUUUAGCGCCGUCUGUGGGAAUCGACACGAAAAGUUACGUCGGUUCUCUUCCAAUCUUUCAUCACACCACCGUGAAACCUUCACAAUCUUCCCCGUGUAUCUGCAAAAAGAACCCAGAAAAAACCCAUCAAACCAUCAUCUCAUUUUCAUCAGAUCUCUGCGUCUCUCUGUGAGUGCACCGACACUCUCCCGUUUUCCUAACAAAAAUCACAACUCUCCAUCAGAUCACUCUCUCUAUCUCUUUGAGAUACAAAAAAAAAAAAAAAAAAAAAAAAAAAAAGCCAAUCCCAUCUCUUCUUCUCUCUAGAAACCCAGAAAUGGGUUAGAAGGAAAACCCAGUUUAACGUCAGCUUCUCUCAUCUCUUCAUCGCUCUGCUGCACGGUCUCAGUUUCUCCCUCCGUCUCUCUUAGACGUUCCCUCCACCUCCGAGCUUGCUGACUCGUUAACCCGGCCCAACUCGCCCGAUGAUCCGGAUCUGACACCUCUCCAGCUUCAACACCCAUCACGCCUCAACAGAUCCAAACCAAAAGAUUCAGGCUUUAGCAGCUGCGAGCCCAUACAUAUACCCAGGCCCGCACCCACCUCCCAGAGCCCACUAACAAGGACCAUCAUCUCCGUCCUCUCUCGGAUUCGCCACCACAAACCCCACACCUGUUUUCCUCGUCAUCUUCUCCACACCAUCUCCUCUCCAAGAUCCGCGCUCCAACUCUCUACCGUAAACACCUGUUCCAUGACGUUCUGGGUGGCGCUCACGAGCUUGGUGGCGAGGCACGAUCAACUGUUUUUUUCAACUCGAAGUUCCUGGAUGUGAUGCAGGAGAUGAUCAUGAAAGAGAUAGGAUGCUUGUUAGGGAUGUCCCAUGGCACAUGUUUGUGUCUACCGUGAAGAGGCUGCACUUUUUCAACCAGAACCCAUUUCAAAGUGAAGGAAACUUGUCCAACUGCAAGCUAAGGAACACCAUGAAGAACGAAAGCCUUUGAGACGGGUGUUCGAUAUUCUUUCUCUUUAAAUGAUGGGGCAACAGUUUGAGAAUUGAAUGAGAAGAUGGAGAUUUCACGUUGGAAGCUUUGCUGACCACCGGAGCUUCUCUCUCUCUCCACCCACUCUCCAGCUUCUUCUUCCAAUUUCGAGAAAUAUUCUCUCCAAAACCCUCUUCUCUUAUGCAUCACAAUCUUCAAAACUAAAUUGGGUUUUAAUCAAAAUCCAAUCUUUGAGAUCAUAUUUUUGCGGGUUUUGAUUUGAAUUGAUAGAUAGGUAGAUGAUGGUAUUGCAGGUGUUCUUCACACUGGCAUUCUCUGCAGUGCCUCUCACUCUCUACGUGUCUUAAAUCAGAAGCCUAAACCCAUUCGUGGAGACCAUGGAGGAACUCUUCUCCGAAUCAAGAGCUUACACCAUUAGGGUGUACCCACGUGUCCGACAUCUUUGGUUUAGGAUCUUGGAUUGAUUGCUUUGCAGCAGAACCACAAGACCCACAGAUGGCGCGGCUUUGGAAAGCCUCUGGAAGAAGGUAGCCAUUUUUCAGUGAGGAAAGCGGUGGCUGAAUCGUUGAGGGCGGCGGCUCGCUGCGUUGCUGCACCGACAAUGGCUCCGGACUAAGAGAGUUUGGUGGCUUCGAGAUGAGGGAGACUGAAAAGGACACUGCAAACGAUGGAGAAGCAGAAAACGACACUGAGCCCGGAGAUCUUGGCUAACUAAACCUUUGACUUCAAGCUCUGCAAUGGGCCACCUUCAUCACAGCUAUGGCGACGUAGCUGAGCACCGAACAAACCGUCAUGUGGCAGAGCGUCAGAAAGAUCGGAAACCGGAAGCCGCAGUUCGUGAGCAGGUACUUGUUCAGAAGCAGGAUACCGAUGUUGAAGCCGUACUAGGCGGCGACCAUCCCGACCGUCGUCCAUUGGAUCGCCGCCAACAUCGAUUUUUGCAGUUGGUGAUGUAAGCCAGGUGGUGCUUCUGGUGGUGGAUCUGCGAGAUCUCGCCGCUGAUUGCAGGCGCCAUAGUCAUAGGGAGGUCGGGGAGCGAGAAGAUCUGUGGGCCGUGAGAAUGAGCGAGGAUUAUGGGCUCGCUCUGAAGACCUGGUCGGGCUUUGCUGGCUACAAGAGCUCGGAGAGCCCUAAAAAUAUGUGCUGGUCUGCUGGGUUUUCUCCGACGGGUAUGUUCUCUUUGUUCUUCAACUCCUCCCAGCGACUAUUCUAGCUCUGGCCACCGUGCUCUUUCUCGAGGACUGCAAGGCCCUGGCUUACUUGAUCACCCGCUCCAUGAAAAACACUGACUGCAAAAAGUAACAAAAAUGGGUUAGGUUUGCUGCUGCUAAGUACUUCACUUUCUUGUUCUCCUCCUCCUCCCACUAUCUGUCUGAGUCGGAAUCGGACCCACAGUCACAACUCACUCCCUAUUUCAAUCUCUCACUGGGCAAUUUUAGAACCCUUUUCUAUCAAAAAUCUCAGAAAGUUCGAAGAUUUAUAUCACUCUCAAAACUUCAUCGUCGGAAUUUCAUAGCUGUCGAGGCAGAGGAUGGAGGGUUUUCGCAUUUUCCUGGAAACGGCUGCCUUUUCUCGCCUAAAUGUGUCAGUUUUCAGCCGCCAGCAGCCGCAGAUUUCAUGCAUUAACGGCGAUGAUUACAAUAAUGGGCCGGCACUAAACUACCCAUCAAGUGAUCACGGAUUUAGCGGCGGAAAUCGAUGCCUUUUUGCGGCGGUGAGUCGUUGCAGAGUCGACUGAACUCACAGAAAGGCGGAGGUGGGGAUUUAGGCCUGUUGUCAGCUGAUUUGCUCGGAAAUAUCGCUGUUUUGGCCAAGCAACAACACGGCUGUCGAUUUAUGCAGAAAACAAUGGAGGAUGCACCGAAUAAGGGUGUGAUUGAUUUAAUAUUCUUGGAUGCACUUUUUCUCCUCGUCCUCCGACCCCUCAGAGCAGGACUCAGGGUAGCUACGUCAACCCGUGGCGGCGCUAUAGCGUCCCACUUCCUCCUCAUCCACAUCAACAACAUGUCCCGAUCUCGUCCCUCUGCCUCCAGCUGGCUCGCGAAGGCUCCAGCUCUGAUGCCAUCCUCACUGUCUAUUUCACUGGAAAGACUUUGGAGGAGCACUAUGUUUCCAAGCUACAGUUUAUCUGGCCUCAGGUUUCAUGCAUGUUUGGAUUUCCUGCUAGGGGAAGCACCGACCAAUGAUCAAACUCCGAUGAGUGUCAGGCUAAAGCAAAAGAGAAAAGCAAAAGUAAGAAAAAGAAAAAGGAUAAAGAAAACUCUUGACCAAGUAGAAGAUAAGCUGUCAUACGACAAUUCCAUUAUGAUUUCGCUUUGGCAUUGCCUGCCACCUGCCAAAAGAGAAAAGAGAAAGAAAUGGAGUGGCGAAAGCAAAAGCAAGGCAGACUGCUUUAUUUAUUUUUUGAAUGAUGUAAUUUAUUUUCAUUAUCUUUCGGAUAUAUCUGUAUAAACCUCAUCAGAGGGUAAUAUGUAUAAACCCCAUCAGAGGGUUAAAAAAAAAAAAAAAGGGCAAAGCCCAAAACAAAUGGGCUGGCAUGUUGUGGAGGGCGAAGGCCCAUAAGCCCGAAAUAGCACCAAUCAGGUCAUCAAAAGUACGGUCAGUACUCCACAAUUAUUUGGCAACCUGCUGUUAUUACCACCAACCAGGUGAUCAAAAGUACGCCCAGUACUCCACAAUUAUUUGGCAACCUGCUGCUAUUACCACCAACCAGGUGAUCAAAAGUACGCCCAGUACUCCAUAAUUAUUCGGCAACCUGCCGCUAUUACCACCAACCAGGUGAUGAAAUGUACAACCCGUACUAUAAUAUCAAUUGCCAACUAGCCAUUCAUGCCACCAACUAGGUGAUGAAAUGUACAACCCGUAAUCUUUUUCAUGCCGGUGAUCAAAAGUAUGCCCAAUACUCCAAAUUAUACAUGAGCAUUACUCAUGUCAUUUAUACAUAAACAUUCAUGAGCAUCACUCAUGACAAUCAUACAUAAACGUUCAUGAGCAUCAUUCAUGUCAACAUUCAUGAGCAUCAUUCAUGUCAACAUUCAUGAGCAUCACUCAUGACAACAUCCAUGAGCAUCACUCAUGUCAAUCAACAUAAACAUUCAUGAGCAUCACUCAUGUCAAUCAGCUUCAAAAGCGUCAUUUACAGAGCUCUAGCUUCAAAGCUUCACUUGCAACACUCACCUACAAAGCUUCAGUGCAGGGUAUAUAAAUACCGCAUCCGAACAACCGCCACUUCGGCCCAUACAUGGAUUCAAUUUGAAGUCUCCAGCCAACAUACUCUAUUGAUCGAAGACUUGGGGGACUACAUUAUGUACCAUAUAUUGGGCCUCAACUGGGCCUCAUGAAAAAUACAAAAUACUUGGGGGACUUAGCACAUUACUUAUGUAAUGAGGAGUGAGCCCUUAUUCUAUAAAAGGGACUCUCUCACCAUCAUUAGAGAGCAAUGCCACCAGCUGAGCAACCGCCUCGUCGCGAGCAUAACUCAUAACCCAUCAUUUAUGUAUUGAGGAGCGAGCCCUUAUUCUAUAAAAGGGACUCCCUCAACAUCAUUAGAGAGCAUUAACUCUAGCCCAUCAUUCAUGUAUUGAGGAGCGAGCCCUUAUUCUAUAAAAGGGAUUCCUUCACUUUCAUUAGAGAGAGCACCACCCACUAUUUAUUAUUGAGGAGCGAGCCUUUGUUUUAUAAAAGGGACUCCCUCACCUUCAGCGCCGCCAGCCGAGCAACCGCCUCGCCACAAGCAUCACCUUUAGUACCACACAUUGGGCCUCUGCAUUUGGGGGACUUAGCCCAUUAUUCAUGUAUUGAGGGGAGAACCUUUAUCCUAUAAAAUGGACUCAUUCACCUUCACCGCCGCCAGCCGAGCAACCGCCUCGCCACAAGCAUCACUUCUAGUACCAUACAUUGGGCCUCUGCAUUUAGGCCUCAUGAAAGCAUUUGGGGGACUUAGCCCAUUAUUCAUGUAUUGAGGAGAGAACCCUUCUUCUAUAAAAGGGACUCCCUCACCUUCAUUAGAAAGCAUCGCCGCUUACUGAGCAACCACCUUACCGCGAGCAUCACCUCUAGCCCAUUAUUCAUGUAUUCAGGAGCGAGCCCUUAUUCUAUAAAAGGGACUCCCUCACCUCUAACCGAACAGCCUCACCUCCAUCACUUCAUGUUGAGCAUCACCACAUGUCAAGUACCAGUUCUAGACAACUUCUAGUUACUUUGGCCCACACAUGGACUGGAUUUCAAGUCUCCAGCCAAAAGACUCUCUUAACUGAAGACUUGGGGGACUACUGUUUAUACCAUAUUUAAGGCCUCCGUAUUUAGACCUCGUAUAAAUACUCGGGGGACUCAAAUGUAAUUAUGCAAUAAAUGAAGAGGCAAAUAUGUAAUAAGUGAGGAGCCCUUAUUCUAUAAAAGGGACUCCUCACUCUCUUCACAGGGAUAGCCAAUUUGAGGCGAAGGUUGAGGCUAGAGAGAGAUCCAUCAAAAUAGGCCUUUGGCCUCCAGAAAUAUAUUAACAUCAGUGUGGACGUAGCCCAAACAUUGGGAUGAACCACGAUACAUCUUGUGUUAUUUACUUUCUUGUAGAUUCACGGUCGGAUUUUUGUUGUACCAAAGUCCUCACUGAUUUUGUGCAUCAACAAAUGGUAUUGCCAAAAUUCUUUCUUAUUUUGUUCCUUUUGUAAUUAGGGUUGUAAGAUUUUCAUAUGUAUGUAAAUAUAUCGUAUAUACAUUUAUAACUUUCUAUAUGUUUUAUACGGUUUUAAAACCCGCAGCAUUGCGCAGAGACACUUUUGCUAGUAAAGGAGCUAAAUCUAGAGUGGACUGUGAGUUAGUAACCAUUCUGCACACUUAGUUUGGCCUCUUGCCCACCCUUGUUUUUCUCUUAUUAAUUAUUACCCAUUGAACUGCCAAAUCAACGAAGAAUCAACGGUCAAAAUUAAAAGGAGUAUACGGAACAUAAAAAAUUCCUAAUUAGAGGGUAUUUGGAAAAUAGCUCCUGUGGUAAAAAAAAUAUAAAAAAAAAAUUUAAAUCCCUUGUAGUGAAGUCCGUUAGGAUUUAAACCUAAAAAACAAAUUUCCGUUAUCUUUGUGUUAACCCCAAAAUCAAAACUUCAUAUUUCUGUGAAUUUAUGCACUCCCUUCGUUGUGGCUCAAUAUAAAUGCUUCAAUGAUUAAUCCAAUCAAGUAAAAAUGUAAUUCUAUAUUGAUCCCUUGUGUUUUCUUUAUUCCUAAAUUGUUUUCGUGCAUGUUUGGGAGAGGAAGUAGGCUCUGCAUCUGUUUGUAAGGCCCUCCUUCUCUCUAUGAUCUCCUCAUUUCUGUUUCUUUCCCAUAAUGUGAGAUGACAUUGAAGAACCAGUACGGCCCUCCUUCCCGGAAAAAUAGGCGCAAUGAUUACUUGAUUGAAUUUGAAGAUUCUUUCAACCAUGAGUGAAUUUCCAGUGAGCCACAAACAGGAGAAGGAACACCAGUGAAGGAGGUACACGAUGAAGAUGCACGACAGUAACAACUGAUGAAGGGGAACAAAACCUAACGGCACAUAAUGACUUAAAUAUAGCGAAAUGCGGGAAAAACCAGUGAAGGAGUAACACAAUGAAGAUGCACGAAAGUAACAACUGAUGAAGGGGAACAAAACCGAACGGCACAUAAUGACUUAAAUAUAGCGAAAUGCGGGAAAAUGCAUGAAACCCAAAUGUAGAGAUUCAGGAUCCUAACCCCUUAAAAAAAAGGGAAGCUUAACAGAGAAACUAAUGAAAAUUUUGAUUUUGGGCUUAAUUCCUAACGAAGUUCACCACAAAGGUUUAAAUCUGAAUUUUUUUACCACAUGACUAUCUUCUGAAUAUCCUAUCAUGAGGAACAUUUAUCCAAUUAGGCCUAAAAAAAUGUGCAUACAUCAGUUCUCGUGUUACAAACCCGUGUUUCUCUUUUCAAAUGCCAAUUUUAUUCAAUCAACGGGCACUUACAACACUUCAAAGUUUCAAACUUAUUUCCCUGAUGGACAAACUGAUAUCGUUUAUGGCAUUCGUGUCUCUCGUUUCUCUUCCCUCCUAUGUUCAAUAAACCGACAUCUCCUACUUCUAGCAUAGCAGCAUACUGUCGUGAAGUGACCCCUUUAUCCAUUGCCUCGCGUGUGGCGUAUCUUGAGCGUUGAGCCUAAAGAAAAUUCAUUCUACUUGGUAUUUUGAUCCCUGCCCGCUUCAGAAUUUCUGCGGAAGCUUGCUUUGCCUUUGCAAGAACUUCUUCCUGUCCAUUUAUAAUUGGCACCCGUAAGUAAACAAUGAAAUUUUAGGGCCUGGCUAUCCGCCCAUUAGUCUUCAUUUGUAUGUCUAACAAGCGAAAAGUAUGACAGAAUACCUCAUCCACGUUCAAAAUCUUCUUAUCCUUCAUAAUCCACAGACCAUUGCACAUUACAGAGACUACAUUUUCGGUUCGCAUACUGUACACAAGGCUGGAAAUGCUGCAUAUGUAGCAAAAGGAAAAGAUUAAUCUACCUGAAUAAAUGGCUAUGUUGCAGACAAACAAAACGAUUUUUUUAUACAGAUUAGAUUGGAACCAGAUCCGCUGAAAAGCCAAAAAACUGCCUUAGAAAAUCAUGGUUCCAACUUUAAGGGUAUUUGAUUGAAAUAAAAUUACUGCAUAUGAUUCCUUCGGGGAUGGUUCUUACCUGUCAUGGAGAGGAACCAUGGUCCAAGAGGAAGGAUUGAUAACAACCAAGUCAGCCUGCCAAAUCAUGGAAGAAGGAAGCUAAUCAGCCUCGUGUUUAAAAUUCGUUGAGAUAUGCACAAAUGUGUAUGGUAUGGCUUUACUUAAAGAGAAAGCUGUAUAAGAGAUGAAGCAGAAGGACAAGAGAAACUAAUUGGAGCUAGCCAAAAGUCCAACCUUUUUGCCGACCUCAAGGGAUCCUAUUUCAUUAUCCCAAAGUACUGAUUUUGCACCAUUUAUAGUCACCAACUCAAGAACUGUUUCAGCAGGAAGAGCAGUAGGAUCAGUAGUUCCAUUUGUAUGAACUUCCCGUCCUUUGUUAAUCAGAGAAGCCAGGUACAUCUCAUCAACUGCAAGGAAGUAAACUGUACAUGAAUUUCGAGGUCCAACCAUCAAUGUUUCAAUGUGCAAACCCCCAAAUAAGGAAAAAAUGCAAGAGUGGGCGAUCAGAAUUUCCACCUAUGCUCAUUCUGUUAUUCGAGGGUGCCCCAUCUGUUCCCAAAGAGACACAGAUGCCAGCAUCCAGCAUCUCUCUAAUAGGUGCAAAUCCAAGCAUUCGCAUCGCAGCGGCAGGGCAAUGAGAUACUUUGACCCCGCCCCUUGAAAGACAAUCAAUCUGAAAAUACAGAAUAACGGCUUCGUACCAGCUAACAAGUUUUUAACCACCAAAGUUAUUGAUGAACAAGUAAUACAAUAACAUACAUAACACUCCAGAGGCUAAAAAGCUCAUGAUAUCUUACUAGUAAACACAUACAGCUGCAUCUACUCCUAUUCUGUAUAUAAAAUAGCACGAGCAAGAAAAACCGCAACUCACCUGAGAAGGAUUAACCCAAACUGUGUGGGCAGCUAGCAAAUUGUUCUGGAGGAACUGUAUAUUCUCCAAGUGUGUUAUCGUUCCAUGGUCAACUUUUCGCGUCUCUGUCACAAAUUGAUUCUCGUAUGCUAUCUCUGCAACAUGCUAAACAAUUGAAAACUUGAGCUAAGUCUAUGUAAAACUUCAAAAUCUCUUUGAACAAGUCCAAAAUGCUGGUAGAGUUAGUUGAGUAUUAUACCAUGUGGAUUCCAGUUUUCAGUUCCUUGGCAGUGUCCCUUGUUGCAAGCAGCAAAUCAUCAGUUGCAUUCAUAAUCUGCCUAAUUCCUAGCCACACUCUGAUGCGCCCGUCUCCGGUGUUAUGGUGCUUCUUGUAAAGCUCUUUCUGAGACUGUCCUUAAAUGUGUGCGAGCAGUGAGUGAGUGAGGACAUUAACUUAACAAAACCAACAAAAAAGCAUAAAAGAGCUUAGAAAUCAAGUUACCUGGAUGCAAUCACCGGCGCUCCGACCUGCCCAAGACUUGGGCAGGCCGUCACCUGAGUCCAUGGUGGACUCAGCCAAACACGCCCUUAACCCCAGCAACUCCACCGCCCUCGCCAUUCCCGACACAUGUUGCCCUCCUGCUUCAGCAAAGCAAGUUACCUGUACAAACAAAAAACCAAUUCCGCAGACGUGGAUUAGACCAGUUGCUCGCCCAAGUUCAAAUCCUCCUCGUUUAUAAAUUAAAAUAAUUUAGAAUAUCGUCUUGUUAGAAAGAAAAAACUUACACCAGAGUGAAUGAGCUCUAUGCCACAAAGCAAGGUGGAAAUGUACGAAUCUUCCUCGCUCAUGUUGGACUCGUAGGGCCAAAUCCGAUCGUGCAGCCACGUCAUCAAAUCCACGUCAUCUGCAAUCCCUCUUCCCAGUUGCUGCGAGGUGUGCACGUGCGUAUUGAUCAGUCCUAUUAUUUUCAACAUUUCCAAUUAUUUCCUUCGAAUUUCGCUUUUCAAAAAAUUGGAAUUAAACAAAUAAGCAGAGAAAUCGGGAAUCGGAGAGCGAAGCAGCUGACCAGGGAGGACGAUUUGGCCGUUGAGAUCGACAACCCGGUGGGCGAGGGCGGAGAACUGGCGGAGUAUAUCGGAAGACUGACCGACGGCUCUGAUCGCGUCUCGCUCGAUGACGAUCCCGCCGUUGCGGAAGACGCGGCUGUCGGAAUCCAUGGUGACGAUGGUAGCGUUGUGAAGUAUAGUCACUGCUGAGGCGAAGUUGGUCGGAGACGCCAUCGUUUUCUCAAUCUUCUCCGCCGUCGCUUUUGAAUUCGUUGAAUCUGAACGUCUGCAACUUCGGAAAGGAAUUGGAUAAAGAUAAAAAUUUUAUUCCUCAAUAAACACGUUCUCGAAUCGAUUUAUUUAUUAAUGAAUUGGAUGUCAGCCGUUAGCUUGUUGCUGGCAGCUGGCUGGCGGGGUUUUCAGUUGGAUGCUGUCACUGUUACGGUUAGAGAGUUUGUUCGUUUGUUCCUUUUUUUGUGUGGAUGAAAGCUAAAAUUCAUUACCAACACUUACAAACAUAAACACAACAAAAACAAACAAAAGAUGGGCCUCCAAGACAACAACCAAACAACCCAACCCGAGGGUCGAGCCCGAAAAGGAAAAGCACAUAAACUAUAAAAACUAAACGCUAGCCUUCUAAUACCCUCGUCACGGCCAAUGUACGCCAUGGUGACCACAAGCCAGCUUCCCAACCAACACCAGAGGUGAAACCCAACCAAGCCCCAACAAAAAGAGAAGGCACCGUCUUUAAUCAAGCUCCACAAAGAAUCAAUCUGCAGCCACCAAUGGUAGAAAACCUGGGAGGAAGUCAGUGGAUCCAUUGACAACAGUGUUGAGACCGACACACAGGUGGAAGGUGGUGGUGCGAACACCCGAGCAGAAGCUCUACGUACCUUCCGAUAAAGCUGUUGAAAACGGCGGAACAAGGUGGAAGCAGAUCGGUUCAAAAGUGAAAUUGAGAGAGGCCGAACCCAAGUGGGAGAGAAAGAAGAAGAAAAGGGUGAACGCAUGUAAGGGGAAAGGCAGUGGGGGAAAGAAGAGAAGGGAGAUAGGAAAAAGAAAUUUUCCGAUCGGAGCAAGGAAGGGUUAAAAUGGAAGAACAAGGGCUAGGAAACUGAGGGGAAAACCAGGAAAAGCAAACGGAAAAGAAGAAGAAAAUGGGUUGCCACCGACCUUCACCACGUCAGCACCACCUUUUAGUGAUAUUUUAUUGAGAGUUUUAACGAAAAGUAGUGUACUGUUCACUUUAACGAAAAAUCAUAUUUUUAUAUUAAAAAGUCAAACCUAAUACUAUUCAAUUUACCUUUUAUUUUGUCCUUAUUGUUAAAACUCAAAGUUUUCAAACUAUUUUCAUUAAUUUCCCUCAUUUUAUUUGUAAGUCCAUGAUAUUGGGUUUGAUUUUUAUAAUAAAGUUUCAAUGUCGUUUAAUUAUUAUACCAGCUUAACCAUCACAGGGUGGUCAAUGGUGGUAUAAAUUUCAGGUCCGUAUUCUACCGUCAUGUUUUGGGUUUGAUUUUAAGUGUUGGUGAACCACACGAUGGUGGUCAAUGAGAGGUUAAGGCCUAAAAAAUAUGCAAAAAAAAAAUAUAUAUAUAUAUAUAUUGUACUAGCCUCUUGCCGCACGCAUACGCGUUUAGCAAUUAGCCUUUCUAUAUUAGAGCAUGUCUUUUAAUUUUUUUUAUUUAAAUUACUAAUUUAUAUUUUUAUUCAAAAGAAAAAAAAUGAAAUGAAGCAAAAACAUAAAGUCACCCAUGUGAGAGUUUUUAAUUUUUUUCAUAAAGUUUUAACAUUAAAAUGUGGUGAAUUACUUUAUCUCUUUUUGGUUCAAUUGUAAUUUUCUUUUAAUUUUCAAAGGACAAUAUAUGGUAUUUUGAAUGUCUCACCAUUUAGGAUGCUUCCUUUAUUUAUAUAGAUAAGUUGAUAACAUACCUCAACUCUUCAUAUGUCGUUCAAAACAAAAUCAUCAUUUUUUCUUCCAAGAAACUAGGGAGACCACAUAAUUAUCAUAUAGUAUACAAUCUCAUGUCGCAAGUGAUUUAUACCAACAUUUAAUGAGAGAAAUUCAUAAUUAGCGUGACAUGUACACAUCACUUACUAUUAGUGCACAAAAUUUGCAUGUCAAACCCAAAUGAGUCCAUGUGGACACUAACAGACUUUAAACCCAACAAUCGAAAAAUAUAACCCUUGAUGGGCUUUUGGAUAUGUACUGGAUUAAAAUGAACAAAAAUAUAAAUGGUUCACUUCACAAAACCUGGGUUACAUUUACUGUGUUGCUUGAAUUCUGUUGAUUAGAAGACUAAAAAUAACGGUAAGCUAAUACAUCAAUUUCACUCUCUCAAAUUGUUCGACCCCGAUUUUGGGGGUUCUCACUCCUUUAUAUAGGCCUCUAGUAAACCCCAUUUAUUGGGUCUUUCCCAGUGAGCAUUUAUGUGCCACUCCACAUGGAUUACCUGGCUGACACCUUUGUACUUGUCAACCCGACAUUCGGCGAUGAAGUGACUGGUGUCCAGUCAAAUACAUGUCGGCCUAAAAUAAAGUAGCCUAUUUCCCCCGAUCGGUCUUGGUUACUUAACCCAAUCUCCCCGAAUGUCGUUCUGACCCACUUCGUGUCCCAUCCUGGGUCUUCAUUGUUGUUUACAAGUCGCCAUGUGGCUUGAAUGUCAUCUUAGUGGACAUUUCUCUUGAAACCCGUAUCGUAAAGAUGUCAGUCUACCCACGUGCUCAAGUUGGCAGCCACUCAACGUUCAGCCUAAUCAGUCAGUGUUCAUCGUGUGCGUUUUUACAAGUUUCCUAGCCCUUGAGCUUCUAAGUCUUUUAGGUUUCUUUUUAGGGCUUUUUCCCAAUCUGGUACUUAUCUUAGGGCCUAAAAGUGGUUAGUGUUAAUACUUACCACAUUAGAUAUUGUACACCAAUAUAGUUCAAAAGUGUGGUCUCCCUCACAUUUUAUAUUUUGUUAACGACGUUUUAUCAUUUCCCCCCUUGAUAAUGAUCUUAUCUUCUUCCUUUUUUUUUAAACUCAAAGUGAUACUAUUUUGUUACAUCAAACAUAGUUCGGUACAAUUGGAAACUAGUAGACUCGCCACCUCCUCGUCAAACCACAAAUUACAAUAUUCGAAUUAUAUCAGAAAUAAAAGCAAGAGGCUUUUCAAAUCGUGUUUUAAAGUACAAAUCGAGCAAGGAGAUAUGAAACAUUGUUGGUGUGUCGAUGCACGCGGGUAAAGCCAUCUCCGAUGAUUUAAAGUAACACUACAUUCCCGUCCUCAAUAAUAUGUCCGUAGAAGGACAAAUACGAGUCCGAACUAUACAACGCAGAAACAAUGUAGAGAUAAUCACUUCAAAAAGAUAUAUUAGAAAACUCCAAAGUCACCAUUUAAAUCACCACAUGCUUUACAUCUUGUAACAUAGUAUCUAAGAGCAAGUCCACCCCACACAAUUUAGCCCAGCACCCAGUCCAAAAAGCAGUCCAGCACCCUAUCAAUUUGCUCCAGCCCGCAAAACAGCUUGGCACCCAACCCAAGCCAGGCAACAGACCAACCCAUUUCGGACAAACUCAGAGGAUGGCCUAUUUGGCUGGCGUGUGCAGCACAGUCACGACUGGGCGCGAGUAGGAGACAAGGUGCAGGCGACGUGGCCCGCUUGUUAACCCACUUGUGUUCACCCGGAUUAAGGCUACGUGGCCCUCCUCAGUGCUGUUGGAUUUCCAACGGCUAGUUUUUGUAAACCGUUGGAUUUCCAACUUUAAAAAAAAAAAUUGACUUUUAAAAUGGAUCGUCGGAUCACAGAUCAACGUUUCAUGUUUUUUUUCACAAAAAAAAUUAAAAAAAAGGCCUAACGGUCAGAAAUAUGACUGUUGGCCACGUGGCAACUCCUUGGCUCUUGGAUUUGAAUAUUUUUCAAAUUCAAAAUUAAUUAACUAUAUUAAAAUUUAUUAAAAAUUAUAAAAAAAAUACAGAAAAAUUAUUAAAAAAUACAGAAAAUUAAAAAAAAAAAACAUAAAAUUUUUUAAAAUGUUAUUUUUUUCUUUCUAUAAAUACCUAACCUUCAUCUUCCACCUUACACCACAUUUCAAAAUUUUCUACACUUUCUAUACUAUCUACAUUUCAAUAUUUUCUACACUUUAAGAGAAAAAAAAUGUCUUUGUGGAAGCUUAUUGAAGAUGUUACAUUGUGGAUGUUGGGUUUACACUACUCAUGACCCGAUUACGGGUAAUGAGAUGGAUAAGCGAGAAAUGUGGAGUAAAAUUACGAAAGCGUUUUGCGAUGUACAUGGAAAAGACGCCAUAACUAGUCAAGGUCUUCUUCAAGGUCAUUGGAAAAAUCUCAACGCAUCCUUUACUUGUUGGAAAAACGCCAUCUCUCAUGCUUCUGGUAACCUCCGUAGUGGGACAAGUUUAGCUGAUCAGGUGACAAUAUUUUUAUUUAUUUAUACGCAUUCCACCCACAUCAAUAUUUUAAUUUAUUUAAUUUCGUAUGUAAUUUUUAUGUUAUUUCUUAUGUAAUUUUUAUAUGCAUUCCACCCGCAUCAAAAUUUUAAUUUAUUUAAUUUCUUAUGUAAUUUUUAUUUAAUUUCUUAUGUCAUUUUUAUGUAAUUUAUAUGCAUUCCACCCGCAUCAAUAUUUGAAUUUAUUUAUUUGUGUUACACCCGCAUUUUUUAACACUAUCUUAUCCCACAUUUUUAUAGACACUAAAAGCUCAAGCAUUCUUCAAUUCAAAGAACCAGAACAAAUCAUUCAACAAAUGGGAAUGUUGGGAAAUUGUCAAAGAUUGCCCUAAAUACAAAAUUGUGGCAACCGGUCUAGAAGUUGUCAUGCACGGCAUGGAUCUACAUAGUUCGCCAGAACCAGACAUGGCCGAACAAGAAGCUGACACAUUUCAAGACACGGAAGGGACGCCUGAACAAGUGCUCGAGACCCAACCGACUCGUUAGUCCCUCAGGACUCAAGGUAAAAAGGCAUUAAAGAAAAAAGGUAGUUCUUCCAAAAAUAACUACACUAAAUAUAUGGAGGAACUUGGUCGCCAAGGUGAACUGAACAUGGCACGGGAAAAGGCUAGAGAUGAGGAAAAAGUUGAUGCUAUGGCAUCAAUAAUAGCAGCAAUAAUAGCAGCUACUGAGGCUCGUGAUGCGGUGGCUGAGAGACAAAGAGAAAUAGUUAAUCGAGAGAACGAGCUGGUUAGACAAGCACACUUCAUCAAGAAAAUGAAAUGCUUAGAAAAGAAAGGAUGGUUCAAGCAGUUCAUGACACUAUGAGCAAGUCUCUAGUAGGACUGUCUCCGAAUUCAAAAUAUUUUUGGACAUCGGAAAAAAGAGAGGUUGUGCGAAGGAGGCGUGCAAGAGAUGCGGAAACAAGUCAAGGGGGUUCUAGCUAUACAAAUCAUAGCAACCAAGAUCUUAGUACCACAUAUCCUAGCUCCAGAGACUUUGUAUAAUUUUUAUGUAAUUUCUUAUUUUUUAGAAUUUUAUUUAAUUUCUUAUGUAAUUUUUAUGUUUUUUCUUUUUUUUUUCUUUUGAACUUUAUUUAAUUUCUUAUGUAAUUUUUAUGUUAUUUCUUAUUUAUUUUUUUAAACUUUAUUUAUUUUUAUUUAAUUUAUUAUGCAAUUUUAAUGUAAUUAUUUAUUUAUUUUUGUACUUUGUUUAAACACAUGAAAUAAGAUUACAUAAACUCACCAAAUAAAAUUAAAAACAAAACACACUACAUAGAAUUACAUAAACUAAAAAAAAAAAACACUUUAUUCUUCAACCACAAGCCUCAUUUUAAUUAUCCUUGCCUUCAAGCAAUCCCCACUGGUGCUCAAUCAAGUCAUUCUGGCAGGUUAAGUGCCAGUAUGGCUCUUGCACAUCAGUGUACCGCUGAACGAUCAAUUCAUUGUAACGUCCAUCGCGUUCCAACGGCUCGUGUUGCACGGGAUCUUCGGUCCGGUCAUGAGCACAAUAGAUACGUGUUCUUGAGUUGUUCAUCAGAUCCGGCUCAUAUUCAUCAACGACAUCAUAAUCAUACUCAUCUUCAACAAUCAUAUUGUGGAGAAUAAUACACGUCAUCAUGAUGGAUCGAAGAGCCUUAACAUCAAACAUUCUAGCUGCAGCACUGACAAUCGCCCAAUGAGCUUGCAGGAUACCAAAACAACGCUCAACAUCCUUCCUACACCCUUCUUGACAUUUUGCGAAGUGUUUUUCCUUUUUAGUCUGUGGAUGUGGCACUGUUUUGACAAAUGUUGACCACCUUGGGUAAAUGCCAUCUGCAAGGUAGUAUUAUCCCUCGUAUUGGGUACCAUUAACCCAAUAUGUGCAUUUUGACGAUUUUCCUUGCAGCAGUUCAUCGAAUAUUGAGGAUUGGGCAAGGACAUUUAAGUCAUUCUGAGCUCCUGGAACACCAAAAAAAGCAUGCCAAAUCCAUGUAUCAAAUGAAGCCACUGCUUCCAAAAUGAUGCUUUUGGCUUAUUUUCUGUCGCCAUAAGCUCAUUACCACGCACUUGGACAUGUGUUCCAAGUCCAGUGCAUGCAGUUGAUACUUCCAAUCAUGCCAGGGAAGCCUCGCAUCUCACCCUUCCUCAGAAGCCUUCGCAUGUCCCUUGGCGUGGAUGUUCGAGGUACUCAUUGGUGUAGAGGGCUUCAAUUGCAAAGCAAAACCGCAUCAGGGACUCCAGAACAGUUGUUCUUCCCAUCCUCGCGAUCUCAUCCACUUGAUUUGCAGAUGCUCCAUAUGUAAGCAUUCGCAAAGACGCUGUAAUUUUUUGCUCGGGAAUAAGACAUAGAACAUGAAAAACAUCAUCUUUUUGCACAAAGUAUGGAUCAUGGUUGCAAAUAGCACUCAUGAUUUUGUCGAACAAAUUUCGUUGCAUUCUAAAACGACGUUUAAAAACAUGAUCAGGGAAUAUGCUGUUGGGAAUAAAAUAAUCUUCCAAGAGAUCUUUACCUCGUAUUUCCCUUUUUCUAUCGAGGUUUGCAGCACGUCUUGGUUUGGCUAUCUGACUCACGGCUUCCAUGACACGGCAGGAAUGUGAGGCUUUUUGCCUUCUAUGGUGAUCAUCCUCAUCCUCCUCCAUGAAGAAAGCCUCAUCUCCACCUCCACCUUCCUCGAGAUUGGCCAAUUCUGCAUGUUGUGCCAGCAACCUUUUUUGUUGCUCCUGUAAUUGUUUAUACACUUUUCUUGAAGAGGACAUUGUAAUAAGAACUUAAGAUUUGAAAACAAUGAACAAGGAUUCUAAGCUAAAAAUAAGGAUUGAGCUUGGUGUGAGGAUGGAUGUAGGGAUGUAGGGUUUAUAUGGACAAAAAAAGAAAGGAUGAGGUUUUGGACAAUGCCACGUGGCAAUACGUGAUUGGUUGAAAAUCUUAUCUAAAUCUUGGCUAAAUUAUUGUAAACCGGAAGUGACACGUGGCGCGUCGGGAUUGGUCGAAAAUAUUAUCGGAAAUCUAUUCACAAAAUAGUAUGUUUAGAUAAUGACACGUGGCAUGAUUGGUUGAAAAUCUUAUCGAAAUCUUGGCUAAAUUAUUGUAAAACAGAAGUGAUACGUGGCGCAUCGGGAUUGGUUGAAAAUCUUAGCGGAAAUCUAUUAAAAAAAUAGUACGUUCGGAUAAUGACACGUGGCGUGACGAGAUUUGUUAAAAAUCCUAUCCGAAAUUAAAACUAUUUUAUUUUUUUAUUUUUUUAGAAAAAAUUUAAAAAUAUUUUAAAUGGGCUGGGUGCCAGCGCUUUUUGUAGGGGUGGAGAUUGUUUGUGCUAGCACAUUUUUUUAGGGGUGGAGAUGCAUUGGCCUAUUACUUUUCAUUGGAGUCUGUUACUAUUCACUGGAGUGGAUAAAUGGGCUGGGUGCUGACACAAAAUCCUUAGGGGUGGACUUGCUCUAAGAAAGACCCAUUUUCAUCUUGCUUGCAAAGCUGUUAAAACGAGAUUUUGAGCUGAGUUACAUAAUGUGUUAGUCAUAAUUCGACAUCAAACUCGUUAUUUAUAUUUAUGAUAUUCCAUUUACAAUUUGCAAGCGAAAAUAAAUGAGAAAUGGUUUUCAGACACAUUUUAUCUUCUCUUACACAAAACUUUUUAUGUAUUCAAUCUAAAAACAAAAGGUAAUCAAAUAUGCGUAAAGACAGAAAUAAAGUGUGAGCAAAAUGGCACCCCAAAUAAAUGUAGAUAGCGCUAAAAAGACUAAAGUACCUUUAUCCUAAGUCAAUGUUGUUUGGGUUAGUGUAGUGGGAUGAAGGACCUAAUCCUAAGAGGCCCAUACAAGGUAAAAAUAACCAGUCUUUAGAUGACCAAUAGAGGUGGCUUCACAGCAAAAUCUGCAUUCCGAAAAAUAUGAGAGAAGCUUGAAAAGAAUUCCACUCCGGCCUUGGCCUCGAAUGUAGUCAAUAACGAGCAUUCAAACUUUGCAUGGAAGUAGUCAAUUUCUCAUAUCUUUCGACUCCAAUAGCUCUGAAAAAGAAAAAAAAAAAAAAAAAACUUGGAUGCAUAUCAAUAUCAAUUUAGUUGACAGAUGUAACACUCCCUGUCCCGUAGGGCUUAAAAAUUCAAAAUGUCAAUGCUCUGCAAGCUAAAGAAUAUAUUUAAAAAAAAAAAAACUAGUUGUCUAUUUUUUUGGUUUGAAAAAUUAGUAAAUUAAUUCAAAUGUAUUUGUUAUAUGAAUUUUGACGGAAAAACAAAAGCAUGAUUGAAGUCUAGUUGUAUUAAAAACCCGAGUUUAUAACAAUUCCAUUGACUGACGAACUCCAAAUGAAUAUUAUACGAAAACCAAAUUAACAAAAUGAGGACGAAAUUAAAAACUCCAAUGUCAACUUUGAUGAAAAUGGCAUGCGUGGUGGCAGUGGCCUAAUGGCUAAUGUCAACUGUGAAAGGUCCAUAUAUUGCUAAAUUAACUUACCAGCUAUUAUUGCUGAUUAAGAAUUCAUAAGACAGGCUUUUAUCCAACUAAAUUAAAAUCAAGCGUAUAAUUCAUAUUAAACAAGGACUUAAAGCUUGUUAAUUUAUAAGAAAAACUUCAAAUUAAACAUUUGUAGUAUUCAUUUAGCGAAGAGUUACAUCAAAAAAAAAAAAAAAAAAACAGAGACAACAAAGGAAGAUUUUAACUCAAAUACCGAAGAGAAGAGACACUACUUUAGCCGACUUGCAUCAAAGUGUAAGUCUACAAUGAAGUUAUGCAUACUUCAUUUGUAUCCUCUCGUGCAUUCAUCAUUCGUUUCACCAACCCAAAACAAACUACAAAAAACUAACAAGGAUAGUGUGCAGUCAAGAAAAGCGGCAGCUACUUCCUAUCCAGUAUAGUCCCGGCAGCUGCUUCGCAAACUAAUAAACAUAGUUUAAUAUUUCGACCAUACAAAUAGUAUUUCAAUGAAGGAAAAAAACAAAACAAAAACGGUUUAGUAUUAAGUACAUUAGAUAUGCUGUUUUGUUACUAAAUUACGUGAUCAAAUGUGCUUAGGUAUAGUCUCAUGACUAUCAGCCAAAGAAGAUAAUGAAAUGUUACUCUCAGCCAGGCCACCCAUAUAUCUACCGACCUUAAACCGCUAUAACGGUCUACUUUGGUGGCUAAUCAAAUUUAAAAACAGCCUUUUGUUUUCGGAUUACAUAGUUGAAAUGAAUUAAUCAUUUGGACUGUAACGAGGAGUGAAAGUAACGUACGUAGGGUUAAGCCCUCACCAUCCCAGCUAGGUCCCCUCAAUUCUUUAUUCUUAUCUUACCCUUUCCCAACAUACGUACAUAUAUAUAUAUAUAUAUAUAUAUAUAUAUAUAUCCCUAGGUCCCCUCAAUUCUUUAUUCUUAUCUGACCCUUUCCAAUCAUACAUAUAUAUAUCCCAGCUAGGUCCCCUCAAUUCUUUAUUCUUAUCUUACCCUUUCCAAUCAUACAUAUAUAUAGACACACGAAGUAAGAUGACAUGAAUUCUUAUGCAUAUUCGCCCCUUGAUUUUUUUUUUUUUGGGGUCAAUUUUCGCCCCUUAAUUUGUUUGCAAGUUGCUACCAACAUUAUCAAGAAAUAUUGAAAUUUAUAUCGUAUUCUUACUAAAAUAUAAAUUCUAACCCUAUUUUACAAGAUAUAUUACGCACCUGUAAACAUGAUGCAUGGUUUGUACUUCUAGUGAUCAUUGCAAAUAAUAAUUUGUAAGAUUAGUUGUUUGUAGAUUUUAGCCUGCCAAAGAGAGUACAUGCUGAUUAAAAGCUAAGAGCAACUAAUUAAGCAGGUGACUGAGAAGAGAUUUAAUUAAUAGAUAUUCAAAAUACAAAACAUAACAAAAUAUUUAUAUAUUACAAAGAUAGCUUGAAUUUCUUUCAUCUCCUUAUUCUCUCCGAUCCUAAUAUUUAACAAUUAAAGUUAUUGACAUAUUGCAAGACUCAAGAAAUCUUAAAUCCCACAAAUUAUGCAUCAAACCCAUAUAUUUUAUCAUCAACCAAGCAAGCUAUCAGUUUUGUAAAGUGCUAAAUAUGCAUUAUAACUAGAACUGGUUGAUGGCAACCAUCCUAGACGGGGUAAGAAGAUGGUAAGAGCCAUAACGCUUAGCCAAGCCACACCCUUGAGGAACCUUUUGGUCACCACAAUCAUCCAUUUCCAUCAAAACCUUGUAGAAUAUCUCAACAUCACAAGGAAGCACAAGGGGACCUCGACUGUCAUACCCAAAUUCAGACUCGGCUUCUUCGAGUAGCAUCUUGAAG
rnacentral:lncRNA from 1 species